rnacentral:rRNA from 1 species
AACGAACGCUGGCGGCAGGCUUAACACAUGCAAGUCGAGCGCCCCGCAAGGUGAGCGGCAGACGGGUGAGUAACGCGUGUGAAUCUACCCAUCUCUACGGAAUAACGCAGGGAAACGGGUGCUAAUACCGUAUACACCCUUCGGGAGAAAGAUUUAUCGGAGAUGGAUGAGCCCGCGUUGGAUUAGCUAGUUGGUGGGGUAAAGGCCUACCAAGGCGACGAUCCAUAGCUGGUCUGAGAGGAUGAUCAGCCACACUGGGACUGAGACACGGCCCAGACUCCUACGGGAGGCAGCAGUGGGGAAUAUUGGACAAUGGGCGCAAGCCUGAUCCAGCCAUGCCGCGUGAGUGAUGAAGGCCCUAGGGUUGUAAAGCUCUUUCACCGGUGAAGAUAAUGACGGUAACCGGAGAAGAAGCCCCGGCUAACUUCGUGCCAGCAGCCGCAGUAACAC